rnacentral:rRNA from 1 species
GAUGAACGCUAGCGGCAGGCCUAAUACAUGCAAGCCGAACGGCAAGAACUUUAGCAAUAGAGUUCCUAGAGUGGCGUAAGGGUGCGUAACGAGUAUGCAAUCUACCCGCAACAGGAGGAUAGCUCCCCGAAAGGGGAAUUAACCCUCCAUGAGAUCACACGAGGGCAUCUGAGAGUGAUUAAACUACCAGGGGUUGUGGAUGAGCAUGCUUCUGAUUAGCUAGUUGGCAGUGUAACGGACUACCAAGGCGAUGAUCAGUAGGGGAACUGA